UUUUUUUGUUUUUUUCUUGACGAUGCCAUGCAUGUGUAAGUAUAAGCGAAUUAUACUGUGAAACUGCGAACGGCUCAUUAUAUCAGUUAUAAUCCCUUCGGUAGUUCCUUUAUACGGAUACCUGCAGUAAUUCUGGAAUUAAUACGUGCUUUAGGGGCCCGACUUUCGGGGAGGGCCGCACUUAUUAGGAUUGAAGCCAAUAUAUUGGUGAGUCAUGAUAAUUGAGCAGAUCGCUUUUCGGAGCGAUGAAUCGUUUGAGUUUCUGCCCCAUCAGUUGUCGACGGUAGGGUAUUGGCCUACGGUGACUAUAACGGGUGACGGGGAGUUAGGGCUCGACUCCGGAGAGGGAGCCUGAGAGACGGCUACCACAUCCAAGGAAGGCAGCAGGCGCGUAAAUUACCCAAUGUGGACUCCACGAGGUAGUGACGAGAAAUAUCAAUGCGGGGCGCUUCGCGUCUUGCUAUUGGAAUGAGAGCAAUGUAAAACCCUCAUCGAGGAUCAACUGGAGGGCAAGUCUGGUGCCAGCAGCCGCGGUAAUUCCAGCUCCAGAAGCGUAUGCUAAAGUUGUUGCAGUUAAAAAGCUCGUAGUUGAAUUUCUGGCGUGGGAGCCCGGGUCUUGGUGCGAAUGCGCCUUGUUUACCUAGCGGCUCCUUUGCCAUCCUUGUGUGUCUUCAGAACUCGCUUCUUUCACUGUAUUCAAAGCAAAGUGUUCCAACCAGGCCGUAGGGCCGGUAGGUUUAUUUAUGGGGAUGAUCAAAUGGGGACUCGGGGUGCUAUUUUUGUUGGUUUUGCACAUCUAGAGUAAGGGAUUAAAUAGGAAACAGCUCGGGGGGGUAUCCUUUAUUUUAGAAACCUAAGAGGGUAAAUUUUCUUGGAAUUUCCCAAAAAACACAAACCUUACAGCCAAAAGGGCUUUUUACCCAAAGCCAUUGUUUUUCCUUUUAAUUCAAAAAACCAAAAAGUUCUGGGGGGAAUCCAAAAAAAUGAAUUAAAAUUCCCCAUCCCUUAUUUCCUAGAACCCGUUAAACCAAAAUGCCCAAACUUUUGGCAAAUUUGCCGGGGGUGGGCCUUAAAUUUAUUUUGGGCCCCUUCCCCGCGGGGCAACCCCCCCUUGGGAAAAAAAUUCCAAAAAAUUUCCUUUUUUGAUUUUCCCCUCCGGGGGGGGGGAAAUUUUUAAGGGGUGCGCCCCCAAGGGGCCGUUGUAAAAACCUUUUUAAAUAGGGGGAAAUUUUUUUCAUCCCGGGGAAAAGGGGGGACCCCCCCCCCCCCCCCCCGGGGGGAGAUGUUUGAAAAAAACCCCCCCUGGGGGCGGGGGGCUUUUUUAAAAAUUUUUUUUGGGGCCCUCCUCCCCAAAUCAUCCCCCCGGGGGGGGAAAAAAAAAAAAAACAUUUUUUUACCCCCCACCAAGGGGGGGUCCCCCCCCAAAAAAAACCCCACUAAAAAACAAAAUUUUGGGGGGGGAGGAAAAGAGUUUUUUUGUAAAAACAACAAAAAAAAAAUUUAUUUUGGGGGGGGAGAAAAGAAGAAGCCGCCCGCCUUUUUUUUUUCCCCCCCGCGGGGGGGGUUAUUCCCCCCCCUUCUUUCUUCCUCCCCCCGGCGUUGUUCUGGUGGUGGGGGUGUGGGGUGGGUUCUCCAAAAAAGGAGGGGGGGCCCCCCCCCGGGGGGCGCGUCUUUUUUAAAAAAAAGUCUGUUUUUUUUGGCGAGGGGAAAGAAGGAGGGAGGGUUAAUUUUUUAUUUUACCCCCCCUUUCCGGGGGGGGGGGGGGUGUAAAAUUGUUGGGGCGGCCGUAUUUUUUAUACCCCAAACGCAGAAAGACAAGGGAAAAAAAAAAAACCCACCCCCCCCUUCCCCCCCCCCCCCCCACCCAAACCAAAAAACAAAAAAACUUUUUUUUUCUUCUUUUCAAAAAAAAAAAGGCGGGGGGGCAAACAACCACCCCCCUUAUUAAUAAUAUUAGGAGAGAGGGGGGGAUUUUUUCUUAUUCCAAAAAAAGGGGGGGGCACCAAAAACA
rnacentral:rRNA from 1 species